UUGGAGGGCAAGUCUGGUGCCAGCAGCCGCGGUAAUUCCAGCUCCAAUAGCGUAUAUUAAAGUUGUUGCAGUUAAAAAGCUCGUAGUUGAAUUUCGGGAUCAAUAUGUCGGUCGUGCCUCGGUACGUACUGGCAUCAUUGGUUUCUCCCUUCUGAUGACCAUGAUGCCAUUAAUUUGGUGUCGUGGGGAAUCAGGACUGUUACUUUAGAAAAAUUAGAGUAGUUUAAAGCAGGCUCACGCUUGAAUACAUUAGCAUGGAAUAAUGAAAUAGGACGUUUGAUUCUAUUUUGUUGGUUUCUAGGAUCGACGUAAUGAUUAAUAGGGAUAGUUGGGGGCAUUAGUAUUCAAUUGUCAGAGGUGAAAUUCUUGGAUUUAUUGAAGACUAACUACUGACGAA
rnacentral:rRNA from 1 species